UACGGAGGGUGCAAGCGUUAUCCGGAUUCACUGGGUUUAAAGGGUGCGUAGGAGGGCAGGUAAGUCAGUGGUGAAAUCUUCGAGCUUAACUCGGAACUGCCGUUGAUACUAUCUGUCUUGAAUACCGUGGAGAUGAGCGGAAUAUGUCAUGUAGCGGUGAAAUGCUUAGAUAUGACAUAGAACACCAAUUGCGAAGGCAGCUCGUUACACGAAUAUUGACUCUGAGGCACGAAAGCGUGGGGAUCAAACAGG
rnacentral:rRNA from 1 species